AUAUGCUUGUCUCAAAGAUUAAGCCAUGCAUGUCUAAGUACAGACCGAUAUACAAGGUGAAACCGCGAAUGGCUCAUUAAAUCAGUUAUGGUUCAUUGGAUCUUACACGAGUUACUUGGAUAACCGUGGUAAUUCUAGAGCUAAUACAUGCAACUAAGCUCCGACCGCAAGGGAAGAGCGCAGUUAUUAGAUCAAAACCAAUCAGGUUCCUAGUCACCUGAUGAAGUUGUGAUGACUCUGAAUAACAUUGAGCUGAGCGCAUGGUCUCUGGACCGGCGCCGCAUCUUUCAAGUGUCUGCCUUAUCAGCUUGAUUGUAGGUUAUGUGCCUACAAUGGCUAUAACGGGUAACGGGGAAUCAGGGUUCGAUUCCGGAGAGGGAGCCUGAGAAACGGCUACCACAUCUAAGGAAGGCAGCAGGCACGCAAAUUACCCACUCCCAGUUCGGGGAGGUAGUGACGAAAUAUAACGAUGCGUGUCUCUAAUUGAGGCUUCGCAAUCGGAAUGAGUACACUCUAAAUCCUUGUACGAGGAUCAAUUGGAGGGCAAGUCUGGUGCCAGCAGCCGCGGUAAUUCCAGCUCCAAUAGCAUAUAUUAAAGUUGUUGUGGUUAAAAAGCUCGUAGUUGGAUGUCUAAUAUUGACUGAUGGUGCGCCUCUGGCGAUUACUGUCGGUUGAAAUAACUAGUCAGCUUGCAUGCGAUGCUCUUUAUUGAGUGUCGUGCGUGGCUGGCAUGAUUACUUUGAAAAAAUUAGAGUGCUCAAAGCAGGUUAAUGCCUGAAUAUGAUGCAUGGAAUAAUGGAAUAUGACCUCGGUUCUAUUUCGUUGGUUUACUGAACCUGAGUUAAUGAUUAAAAGAGACGGACGGGGGCAUUCGUAUUGCGACGCUAGAGGUGAAAUUCUAUGACCGUCGCAAGACGUACA
rnacentral:rRNA from 1 species